AUGCAUCUUUGGCCUACAAAGAAUCUCAGAGAUUCCUUCAAGCUAUCUUACCUUAAAAACCUCGAAUGGAACUACCAAAGAAUGGAAAAAGACAAACAACGUCAAUCAUCAACCCAACAGAAACUGUUGGAACAAGACAACAACAACUACAACGUUGUUGACACUCCUCAAACUGGAGUGGGAGGCGCAGCUUCCGUAUUUCAUGAGCUUUUGUUGAUUUUUUCUUGCUGUUACUGUUGUUUCUGCUGCGGUGCUUGUGUCGAAGAGAAAUAA